rnacentral:tRNA from 1 species
GCAGUCGUGGCCGAGUGGUUAAGACGGACUAGAAAUCCAUUGGGGUCUCCCGGCACAGGUUCGAAUCCUGUCGACUGCG